rnacentral:rRNA from 1 species
CCUACGGGAGGCAGCAGUCGAGAAUCAUUCACAAUGGGGGCAACCCUGAUGGUGCGACGCCGCGUGGGGGAAUGAAGGUCUUCGGAUUGUAAACCCCUGUCAUGUGGGAGCAAAUUAAAAAGAUAGUACCACAAGACGAAGAGACGGCUAACUCUGUGCCAGCAGCCGCGGUAAUACAGAGGUCCCAAGCGUUGUUCGGAAUCAGUGGUCUUAAGGCGUGCGUAGGCUGUUUCGUAAGUCAUGUGUGAAAGGCGCGGGCUCAACCAGAGGACGGCACAUGAAAAUGGGAGACUAGAGUAAUGGAGGGGGAAGCGGAAUGCUCGGUGUAGCAGUGAAAUGCGUAGAUAUCGAGAGGAACACUCGUGGCGAAGGCGGGUUCCUAGACAUUAACUGACGCUGAGGCACGAAGGCCAGGGGAGCGAAAGGGAUUAGAUACCCGAGUAGUC